AACGGCCCACCAAGGCAACGAUCAGUAGGGGUUCUGAGAGGAAGGUCCCCCACAUUGGAACUGAGACACGGUCCAAACUCCUACGGGAGGCAGCAGUGAGGAAUAUUGGUCAAUGGGCGAGAGCCUGAACCAGCCAAGUAGCGUGCAGGAAGACGGCCCUAUGGGUUGUAAACUGCUUUUAUAAGGGAAUAAAGUUAGUCUCGUGAGACUUUUUGCAUGUACCUUAUGAAUAAGGACCGGCUAAUUCCGUGCCAGCAGCCGCGGUAAUACGGAAGGUCCGGGCGUUAUCCGGAUUUAUUGGGUUUAAAGGGAGCGUAGGCCGGAGAUUAAGCGUGUUGUGAAAUGUAGACGCUCAACGUCUGCACUGCAGCGCGAACUGGUUUCCUUGAGUACGCACAAAGUGGGCGGAAUUCGUGGUGUAGCGGUGAAAUGCUUAGAUAUCACGAAGAACUCCGAUUGCGAAGGCAGCUCACUGGAGCGCAACUGACGCUGAAGCUCGAAAGUGCGGGUAUCGAACAGGAUUAGAUACCCUGGUAGUCCGCACGGUAAACGAUGGAUGCCCGCUGUUGGUCUGAACAGGUCAGCGGCCAAGCGAAAGCAUUAAGCAUCCCACCUGGGGAGUACGCCGGCAACGGUGAAACUCAAAGGAAUUGACGGGGGCCCGCACAAGCGGAGGAACAUGUGGUUUAAUUCGAUGAUACGCGAGGAACCUUACCCGGGCUUGAAUUGCAGAGGAAGGAUUUGGAGACAAUGACGCCCUUCGGGGUCUCUGUGAAGGUGCUGCAUGGUUGUCGUCAGCUCGUGCCGUGAGGUGUCGGCUUAAGUGCCUUAACGAGCGCAACCCCUCUCCUUAGUUGCCAUCAGGUUAAGCUGGGCACUCUGGGGACACUGCCACCGUAAGGUGUGAGGAAGGUGGGGAUGACGUCAAAUCAGCACGGCCCUUACGUCCGGGGCUACACACGUGUUACAAUGGCAGGUACAGAGAGACGGUUGUACGUAAGUACGAUCAAAUCCUUAAAGCCUGUCUCAGUUCGGACUGGGGUCUGCAACCCGACCCCACGAAGCUGGAUUCGCUAGUAAUCGCGCAUCAGCCAUGGCGCGGUGAAUACGUUCCCGGGCCUUGUACACACCGCCCGUCAAGCCAUGAAAGCCGGGGGCGCCUAAAGUCCGUGACCGUAAGGAGCGGCCUAGGGCGAAACUGGUAAUUGGGGCUAAGUCGUAACAAGGCA
rnacentral:rRNA from 1 species